CCUACGGGAGCAGCAGUGAGGAAUAUUGGACAAUGGGCGCAAGCCUGAUCCAGCCAUGCCGCGUGCAGGAAGAAGCAUCUAUGGUGUGUAAACUGCUUUUGUACGGGAAGAAACACCUCUACGUGUAGAGGCUUGACGGUACCGUAAGAAUAAGGAUCGGCUAACUCCGUGCCAGCAGCCGCGGUAAUACGGAGGAUCCAAGCGUUAUCCGGAAUCAUUGGGUUUAAAGGGUCCGUAGGCGGUUUGAUAAGUCAGUGGUGAAAGCCCAUCGCUCAACGAUGGAACGGCCAUUGAUACUGUCAGACUUGAAUUACUAGGAAGUAACUAGAAUAUGUAGUGUAGCGGUGAAAUGCUUAGAUAUUACAUGGAAUACCAAUUGCGAAGGCAGGUUACUACUAGUGGAUUGACGCUGAUGGACGAAAGCGUGGGGAGCGAACAGGAUUAGAUACCCUGGUAGUCCACGCCGUAAACGAUGGAUACUAGCUGUUGGGAGCAAUCUCAGUGGCUAAGCGAAAGUGAUAAGUAUCCACCUGGGGAGUACGUUCGCAAGAAUGAAACUUAAUGAAUUGACGNGNGAGAGNGCGAGACGACGACGAGGAGGAG
rnacentral:rRNA from 1 species